GGAUUAGAUACCCUGGUAGUCCACGCCGUAAACGAUGGAUGCUAGCCGUUGGUAAGCAUGCUUAUCAGUGGCGCAGCUAACGCAUUAAGCAUCCCGCCUGGGGAGUACGGCCGCAAGGUUGAAACUCAAAGGAAUUGACGGGGGCCCGCACAAGCGGUGGAGCAUGUGGUUUAAUUCGACGCAACGCGCAGAACCUUACCAGGGUUUGACAUCCUGUGCUAACCGGAGAGAUCCGGUGUCCCCGCAAGGGGCGCAGAGACAGGUGCUGCAUGGCUGUCGUCAGCUCGUGCCG
rnacentral:rRNA from 1 species